UACAGAGGUGGCAAGCGUUGUUCGGAAUUACUGGGCGUAAAGGGCGCGUAGGCGGCCUACUAAGUCAGACGUGAAAUCCCCCGGCUUAACCUGGGAACUGCGUCUGAUACUGGAAGGCUUGAGUAUGGGAGAGGGAUGUAGAAUUCCAGGUGUAGCGGUGAAAUGCGUAGAUAUCUGGAGGAAUACCGGUGGCGAAGGCGGCAUCCUGGACCAUUACUGACGCUGAGGCGCGAAAGCUAGGG
rnacentral:rRNA from 1 species